AGACACAUUCACACUGGGCCAAGAGCAGCUGCCAUUGCAGAUUCGAGUCACGUCCUUUUUUCCUUCCUUCUCCUUCUUGGAGUUACAACAGAAGCUGGGGAGGUGAGAGUGCAGAAAGGACGUGGAUGAAGCAGAGAGGCACGUGCCUGUCUCAUUCGCCUCUGGAUCUGCUGCAUCCAGGACUGUGCCAGCACAAAGUGGGAGCCCGAUAAAUAUUUAUUGAAGAAAUGAAAGGUGACAAAAGGCAGAAGGAGGGAGACCCCAAAAAGAGCUCCCCAUCCAUCCUGCUGAGAGCCACCUCCACCACUCAGUGAAACCGCUGCAUUCAUCCUUCAAGUUUAUGUGUGACCUGAUUCUUCCUGGACAUUGGACAAAGACCUAGGUCCAGUGAACUGUCUAACACUUAAGUCAUCCACGGACAGCAAGGCUAACAGAACGCUGUAACAUGUGCCCACUUGGACUCUGGGAGUUGCAGACACCCACCCAUAGGUGCUGCCAUGGGUCCGGAGCCCAAAAAGUGCUUGCCCUGGCUCCUGCACCUGCCCGUCUGCAUGCUCCCCCUCCGGUAAGGGGUUUGAGGAUGUGGCGGCUGAACAUAAGAGCUAUGCCCCUGUCACACAUCAUGGGACAGGGGUCAGGGAACUCUCCCAUUUCACUUUCAAAUAUUCCAGGUCCCCUUUUUGUUCGGGAGCCAGAGUCUAAUGGAGACAGAGAUAGAAACCCUGAAAUAGGAUCCAGGCAAUAUAAACCUACACGCUGUAAGCCAAGUCAGAGUGAGGCUGAUGUGAUAACAAAAGUCUGAAUACAAGGUGGGAGACAAUUAUUCUGACUGAAAGGGAGGCAAGAGUUCUGCCAUAGGCUUGAUGCUGUGUGCCCCUGGCUUCCUAACUCAUUUGCAAAUGGAAAAUACUAUUCCAUUGUAGGAACCUUCUUUUUCCAUGUGUCUGGGGAAGGAGAAAGAAUGGCUGGGCUGAAUGAAUUUAUCCCUUGGUCCUCUUCCAACAAAGCUCAGCUAUGAAAGAUAAAUCCAGCUCUCCCCACCCCCUCUCAGUGGAGCUGGGGAGAAAUCAAAAGCCCCUCUGCCAAUAAUGAGACCAAAGUUUGCAAGGGCAGGACGAGCCCGUGCUAACAGAGAAAGUGUUGUUUCCUCAAUUUGGUUUUAGACUGUCUUGUCCUAUGGGGGAGAAAAGAUCUGCCCUUGGGAGAGGUGCCAACUUUAUAGAUCUAUUAAUAAAAGAACUGGCAGGCUUACAGUUCUUGCCAAUGAGGAAACUUGAAUGAGAGAAGCCAGGCUCAACCUUGGCCAACAGACUGGAGCCCAUCACCCUAACUUCACCCCGCUUCUCCUUACCCAACCGUCAAAGGCUAGGCAGCACCCACCCAGCAGCUUCCACCUGGCUGAAGCCUGCACCUGCUUCAGACCAAGGGUUAGAUGGAAAUUUGGCAUGGGAAGAGAGGGCUCACCUGUGGGCAGGAUAGACUCUAUCCAAGAAGGAGAACUGAAAAAUGAAAACCUAUGAGACAAGGGGUGAUCCUGAAGGCAGGCAGGAGAAAGGGCUGGAGGGAGAGGCACUGGGGAAUUUUUCCUGGUGAAUACUGAAGUUACUAGAUGUUUUGUCUUGCAAAACUCAAGGGAAAACUCUCAAACUCUAAUGUUUGUCUAUUCUGUGUCCAAACUGUCCUUUUGAAACGGACCCACCUUUCAGUAAAGAAACUUGCAUUGGC
rnacentral:lncRNA from 1 species